GUGACGCCCCCCGCCCCUUGCCCACCCCUCGCCCACUCCUCGCCCCUCGUCCCCCGCCCCUGCCUAGAGAGGCGGUGCAGCGGGCGGGGAGGCGCGGCGACGGCAGCGCGCCCAGGCACUGCGGAGGGCCGGCCCCACGUGGGGGGUGGGGAGGGAUGCCCGCUCCGCCCAGUCCCCUCAGCGCCGGGCCUCGUCUCAGCCCGCCACGGAGUGGGCGGGACGCCAGGCAGGCGGGGGACGCGGCGGCUGCCAGCCAAGGGGCCGGAGCCAAGAGAUUUGCAUUGGAAGCGCCAUCCUCUUGCGCGUCUGAUGAGGAAGCAGAACCCGGUGACCGACUGAGCUGCAUUUCUGAAGCAUUUGCUGGGUUUUGCCUCGCUGAGCCUCGGGGAGCACUGGGGCGCGGGAUGGGGGACCCUGUCACGGAGCCGACACCUGCUCGCGAGCCCCUCCCCCGCUCACGCCGUGCCGCGGGCUCGCCCUCCCCAUCUGCAGUGCCCGCAGCGCCUGCCCGCCCCGCCCAUCCUUCCUCCUGGGCAACCCAGAGGAUGGCGUGAGGACUCCUGGAAGCCCCAGGACGGGACCAGGGGCGUGGUAGGGAGCCGUAGACCCGAGUUUUUAUCGUCCUCUGGUGCCGACACUCGGCUGCGGAAUCGAGUUUGAGCUCGGUGUAGCUGAAGUUUAAAUUGUAGCUGUUUCAAAGAUGCCUUGAGAGUCUGAGGAACCCCAGAUUCAGCACCCCUGCUUAACCUGCUUUUAAGAAGAAAAAAAUGGAACUUGGUAAACUUCACUCAAAGGAGAGAGCCACUAAUACCUCCACCUACCUCACACCCAGUGAAGGACGCUGAGAGAAUGUAUGUGUGCUCCAGGCAAUGACUGGAUGAAACAAAAAAGAGAGUCUGGAUAUCAUUAAAGUGUUCGACUCUUGGAUUCCUACGGUUUGGGAUGGGAAGCAGAACUGGACUGUAGCCCCACAUGCAGGUCCGGUAGGAGUCUCCAAAUCCCAUCUGUCUCCCUGCGCUGCAGUUGCCUUGCUUUACCUGCAGAGUUUGGCAUCCGGUAGCAAUGUCUCGAACCCCCGGAGUGUCAGGUUCUAUGUUCGGGCCAAACAUUGCUGAAAGGUGGAAGAAUUCAUGGAGAGAAGGUUAUACCAGGAACCAAGAUCUGCUUUUUAAAAGGGAACAUGCACGCUUAUCUUUUGGCUUGAAUUCACUGUCUUUUACUUAUAUGUGGUCCCUCCUGUGCCGAGUCAGCAUGGGGUUCAGCAGGUGGUGGAAGAUAAACAGCUCAGAGCUGGACUCAGAACUUGGCAGAGUCCUGCUUUCAACUAUGUGCAGCCAGAAAACUCUGGAAAACUGAACUGUUUAUUAAGGUCAAACUUUGGUCUCCUAGAGAGUGGAGCUAGCUCCCAUCCUUCCAAAUGCAGCAAUGACAUUAAGAACAUUUGUUCACAUGGAUCACAGUUGGUGUUGGAAAGUUGUCCUACCUGGACAUUGCUGUCAGAGCCAUGGACUAAAAUACUCAGUUCUGGCCUAAAUAAAGCAAGCUCUCAGUGUCAAAGGCUUUUUUUUUUGAGAUAGAGUCUUGCUCUGUUGCCCAGGCUGGAAUGUAAUGGUGUGAUCUCAGCUUACUGCAGCCUCCGCCUCCCAGAUUCAAGCAAUUCUCC